rnacentral:rRNA from 1 species
GAACGCUAGCGGCAGGCUUAACACAUGCAAGUCGAGGGGCAGCGAGAGAGUAGCAAUACUUUUGUCGGCGACCGGCGGACGGGUGCGUAACGCGUAUGCAACCUACCUUAUACAGGGGGAUAACCUUUCGAAAGGGAGACUAAUACCGCAUAACAUUACUUUGAGGCAUCUUGAGGUAAUUAAAUCUUCGGAGGUAUAAGAUGGGCAUGCGUAGCAUUAGCUAGAUGGUGCGGUAACGGCGUACCAUGGCGACGAUGCUUAGGGGUUCUGAGAGGAAGGUCCCCCACACUGGUACUGAGAUACGGACCAGACUCCUACGGGAGGCAGCAGUGAGGAAUAUUGGUCAAUGGUCGGAAGACUGAACCAGCCAUGCCGCGUGCAGGAAGAAUGUCUUAUGGAUUGUAAACUGCUUUUGUAUGGGGCUAAUAAUAACUUUGCGAAGUUAGAUGCAGGUACCAUACGAAUAAGGAUCGGCUAACUCCGUG